UAUAGGACUCUCGGCAAUGGAUAUCUUGGCUCUCGCAUCGAUGAAGAGCGCAGCGAAAUGCGAUACGUGGUGCGAAUUGCAGAAUCCCGUGAACCAUCGAGUUUUUGAACGCAAGUUGCGCCUGAGGCCAACUGGCCAAGGGCACGCCCGCCUGGGCGUCAAGC
rnacentral:rRNA from 1 species